GAUGAACGCUGGCGGCGUGCCUAAUACAUGCAAGUCGAGCGAACGGACGAGAAGCUUGCUUCUCUGAUGUUAGCGGCGGACGGGUGAGUAACACGUGGAUAACCUACCUAUAAGACUGGGAUAACUUCGGGAAACCGGAGCUAAUACCGGAUAAUAUUUUGAACCGCAUGGUUCAAAAGUGAAAGACGGUCUUGCUGUCACUUAUAGAUGGAUCCGCGCUGCAUUAGCUAGUUGGUAAGGUAACGGCUUACCAAGGCAACGAUGCAUAGCCGACCUGAGAGGGUGAUCGGCCACACUGGAACUGAGACACGGUCCAGACUCCUACGGGAGGCAGCAGUAGGGAAUCUUCCGCAAUGGGCGAAAGCCUGACGGAGCAACGCCGCGUGAGUGAUGAAGGUCUUCGGAUCGUAAAACUCUGUUAUUAGGGAAGAACAUAUGUGUAAGUAACUGUGCACAUCUUGACGGUACCUAAUCAGAAAGCCACGGCUAACUACGUGCCAGCAGCCGCGGUAAUACGUAGGUGGCAAGCGUUAUCCGGAAUUAUUGGGCGUAAAGCGCGCGUAGGCGGUUUUUUAAGUCUGAUGUGAAAGCCCACGGCUCAACCGUGGAGGGUCAUUGGAAACUGGAAAACUUGAGUGCGGAAGAGGAAAGUGGAAUUCCAUGUGUAGCGGUGAAAUGCGCAGAGAUAUGGAGGAACACCAGUGGCGAAGGCGACUUUCUGGUCUGUAACUGACGCUGAUGUGCGAAAGCGUGGGGAUCAAACAGGGUUAGAUACCCUGGUAGUCCACGCCGUAAACGAUGAGUGCUAAGUGUUAGGGGGUUUCCGCCCCUUAGUGCUGCAGCUAACGCAUUAAGCACUCCGCCUGGGGAGUACGACCGCAAGGUUGAAACUCAAAGGAAUUGACGGGGACCCGCACAAGCGGUGGAGCAUGUGGUUUAAUUCGAAGCAACGCGAAGAACCUUACCAAAUCUUGACAUCCUUUGACAACUCUGGAGACAGAGCCUUCCCCUUCGGGGGACAAAGUGACAGGUGGUGCAUGGUUGUCGUCAGCUCGUGUCGUGAGAUGUUGGGUUAAGUCCCGCAACGAGCGCAACCCUUAAGCUUAGUUGCCAUCAUUAAGUUGGGCACUCUAAGUUGACUGCCGGUGACAAACCGGAGGAAGGUGGGGAUGACGUCAAAUCAUCAUGCCCCUUAUGAUUUGGGCUACACACGUGCUACAAUGGACAAUACAAAGGGCAGCGAAACCGCGAGGUCAAGCAAAUCCCAUAAAGUUGUUCUCAGUUCGGAUUGUAGUCUGCAACUCGACUACAUGAAGCUGGAAUCGCUAGUAAUCGUAGAUCAGCAUGCUACGGUGAAUACGUUCCCGGGUCU
rnacentral:rRNA from 1 species